rnacentral:rRNA from 1 species
AUUGAACGCUGGCGGCAGGCCUACCACAUGCAAGUCGAACGAGUGGCGGACGGGUGCGUAAUGUCUGGGAAACUGCCUGAUGGAGGGGGAUAACUACUGGAAACGGUAGCUAAUACCGCAUACCCUCUGAUGUGCCCAGAUGGGAUUAGCUAGUAGGUGGGGUAAAGGCUCACCUAGGCGACGAUCCCUAGCUGGUCUGAGAGGAUGACCAGCCACACUGGAACUGCGACACGGUCCAGACUCCUACGGGAGGCAGCAGUGGGGAAUAUUGCACAAUGGGCGAAAGCCUGAUGCAGUCAUGCCGCGUGUAUGAAGAAGGCCUUCGGGUUGUAAAGUACUUUCAGCGGGGAGGCGUUACCAGCAGAAGAAGCACCGGCUAACGCCGUGCCAGCAGCCGCGGGAAUAC